rnacentral:sRNA from 2 species
AUAUCAAGGUUAUGCUUUGUUUCAAUCCUCAGCUGUGGUGGCAAUAAUAAUAACUAAGGGGCAUUUUGAAUAGCUAGUGCCAUUCUCAUCUACUUACGUCAAUAUUUCAUCCUAUCUCGAACUACCACUAUUAGAUACGUAUGACUCGGUUAUAAUUUCACUCAGUGACGAUUUCUUUACUUUGCCGCAAAUAACCAUUGUUUCAAAGUUGAGCUUCAAUCAAUCCUCAGUCACGAAGGUUCUGGUAACUUCCUGCUGCGGCCGUUGGAAAACUACGGUAAGUGGGUGAUAGGAGAUUUGAAUGUAAUGGCUAAUGGUUAACUAUAUGCUGGUUUCCUGAAUAACGAAAGUUGAGAAAUCCUUUGUGAUUCUCUCUCGUUUCUCAGGCAGGGAGGUGACAGCGCUGUGUAACAUUCAUAUGGCGCAAGGGGCACAGUAACUAAAUACUAGUCUCUUCCCGACAUCCUUCAUGCUCUCCUGCUUCGUUUCUUCUCAAAUUGGGAUCCCUCCGUGGCAUUCGAUGGAAUCCUGGGUGUGCGGACAGAAAGGCAUAUAUAUCCCACAGGUUCAGAGACCGUUUGGAGAACCGUCAAGGAAUCCCCACACAUAGUUGUUCUCUCUUCCUCCACGUCAUGAAUCUAGUAUUCUUUCUGUUUAUCGUCAAAGAUAACUUGAUAGCAUUGAUAGCGAGCGUGCUUUUUAAGCAACUCGAGGCACAGUUAUCGGCUCUCUUGGACCAUCAAUUUUGUUGUUGAAGUUCGUCCGUUUGGGGACACCACAAUCGAAACCUUCGCUUUGAAAUAUCAGUUCGUGUAUACUUGGAAAGCUCUGUGUUUGUACAGCACAUUUAAAUUACAUUUUUUUCUACUUUACUUUUCUACUUCAUUUUCAUACAGCGUGCUUCACGUUAAUGUAGGAAUCAUGUUUACAUUUUUUUAAAAUUCUUUUUUUUUUAAACGUUUAACACCAAUUCAAACUCCCAUAUUCGUUCGCACUUCAACAAGUAGUGGGGCGGCAUUUUUAUAUCAAGUCUAUUAAUUGUGUCAAGGCCGGAGCAUCCUGAAAGAUCCGCAGCUUGUUUAUGUUCCUAAACAUUGAGAAAGUUUACCAGAGGAAAAUAGUUCAGCCCUAAAAACAAUCAUAAUAUAUCUUCAGAUAUGUCGAACAUAGUAGGCGAAAAACUCCAUAACACCAGCGCCAGCGCCAAGGCUGUGUCGAACCCCAUAUCCCCCAUUGAUUACAAGAAAGUACAGAAGAUAUCAUAAAGUACAAAUAUAAACGAUAAUACCCCAUCAGAUUUAGGGGGAAAAGGGGGG